UACGGAAGGUCCGGGCGUUAUCCGGAUUUAUUGGGUUUAAAGGGAGCGUAGGCCGUUUGCUAAGCGUGUUGUGAAAUGUCGGGGCUCAACCUGGGCAUUGCAGCGCGAACUGGCAGACUUGAGUGCGCGGGAAGUAGGCGGAAUUCGUCGUGUAGCGGUGAAAUGCUUAGAUAUGACGAAGAACUCCGAUUGCGAAGGCAGCCUGCUGUAGCGUAACUGACGCUGAAGCUCGAAAGCGUGGGUAUCGAACAGG
rnacentral:rRNA from 1 species